CAGUCGCCGCGGGAAAACGGAGGGUGCAAGCGUUACUCGGAAUCACUGGGCGUAAAGGACGCGUAGGCGGAUUAUCAAGUCUCUUGUGAAAUCUAACGGCUUAACCGUUAAACUGCUUGGGAAACUGAUAAUCUAGAGUAAGGGAGAGGCAGAUGGAAUUCUUGGUGUAGGGGUAAAAUCCGUAGAUAUCAAGAAGAAUACCUAUUGCGAAGGCGAUCUGCUGGAACUUAACUGACGCUAAUGCGUGAAAGCGUGGGGAGCAAACAGGAUUAGAUACCCCCGUAGUCCCUGUCUCUUAUAC
rnacentral:rRNA from 1 species